UACAGAGACCACAAGCGUUAUCCGGAGUUAUUGGGCGUAAAGGGUCCGUAGGCGGCCUUGCAAGUCGUGUGUCAAAUCUCUGGGCUCAACCCAGAGUCUGCGUGCGAUACUGUGAGGCUAGAGACUGGGAGAGGCACAUGGAAUUGCCGGUGUAGCGGUAAAAUGCGUUAAUAUCGGCAAGAACACCAAAGGCGAAGGCAGUGUGCUGGAACAGUUCUGACGCUGAGGGACGAAAGCGUGGGUAGCGAAU
rnacentral:rRNA from 1 species